rnacentral:rRNA from 1 species
UACGGAGGGUGCAAGCGUUAUCCGGAUUUACUGGGUUUAAAGGGUGUGUAGGCGGACUAUUAAGUCAGUGGUGAAAUCCCGAGGCUCAACCUCGGAACUGCCUUUGAUACUAUUAGUCUUGAAUGUUGUUGAGGUGGGCGGAACGGGUCAUGUAGCGGUGAAAUGCAUAGAUAUGUUAUAGAACACCGAUUGCGAAGGCAGCUAACUAAGCAUAUAUUGACGCUGAGGCACGAAAGCGUGGGGAUCAAACAGG